rnacentral:rRNA from 1 species
CACAUCUGUUGAAAUACUUUCAUUUGUUUAACCUCUUCUUUACUCAAUCCUGUUAGUAGAUCCUUUCUCACUUAUACAUGAAUAAUCCAUUUGAAUGAACGUUAACAAACAGGUUUUGUGAAAGGUAAGAAAUACAGUAAGUAUUCAAGGAAGUCAAAAUUGUACUUAUGAGACCGUUGUUAUAGACCUGCUAGGAGUCCAAAGACCGGACCUUAAUCUAGGUUGUAUAGAACAUAAAGGUCGGUAAAACCUAACGUACAUUUUCAUUACUUCUCUAGUACUAUCGGUCGGGUUGCUGUUUAGCGGUACCGUAGAACCAUUAAAACGACGAAUAAAGAACCUGACGGUAAUAUACUACUCCCAUCAUACUAAGAAACAGGUUGAACAAGCCAAGCACAUAGAGGUAAAAGAUAACGUAGUACGUCAGGAGACAUGUCAAGACUGGAGUUGAAUGGAACCAAACAGGACAUGAUUAAAUCAGAGGUGAUAAGUUACGUACAACGACGUAGUUGAUUCUUGACGUCCUUGUUUGUAGGUGAGUAAACGUUACAACUUCGAACCAAGUCUGCAACAACAUACGCUAUGCGUAUUUUGAGGUCGUAACAAUGUAUGAAAGAAAAUGGAAACGACGGAGAAAAUAAAAGUAUGAGAUAAAGACCAGACUUUGGUAGAAGAGGUAUACCUUUUUCGUUCCCCAUGACGUAACUGUAUAUCGAACCCACGUUGAGACUUUAGGAGACAUUGUAAGACAGAAACCAGAGUUGAUAAUAUAGUUUAAGUAAUAAAAGAGGUAGAACAAGGUUAUUAAUCACGACGCUGAAGACUACGUCUACCAUCCAACAUAACGGCAGGUAGAAAGCUGGAAAACAACUAGUUAGAAUCAGAAUGUAGAAAUUAUGCGGCCAAAACCUUAGACAGGGAACGGUAUGUUUUACUAAACUGAUUUUGUGACACGAGUAGUUCGUAGAGGUCAUCAGGAAACUGUUACAAAAGUAGACCAACACAGAAUGAGAGGCAACUUCGUCUACGUAAUUAGGAUAAGGCGUGAAGUAAAAGACACAGUACAUACAUGUUAACCCGUUUAAAACCAAAGUAGUGCAGUAGAAAUCCUUCAUUUCACGGUUAGACUACCAUUAAGACAGGUAAGUUUGCCUUUUGUAUGCCAGGUCUACGGACGAAUAAUUAAAGUAUCAGUUGGAAAGGAGGGUAACUUCACUUACGCUUGUAGCUCAACAUGCUGGACUACAAGACCGCCUUUAAACUACUAAGAGGAGAAAGUAACAUUGCAUCAUCGACAGCCUCUAUGUUGCCUCGAAGAAAGUCACCACCAUUAAAUUGAAAGGGAAGGAACGUCGUCUCUGGUUUAAAACCUUGACACUACAAUGGACACGAACACGAAGAGAGAGGUACGGUGUAUACCGUAACGUUUUAAGUGUUUGUGUUAAACCAAAAGGGUCUAUACUUUGAACUCACUGUAGGAAGCGAUGUAAUCUAUGAAGUGUCAGUAACGGGAAAAGACAGGAAUCAGCAAACGAACGGAAAAAGUCGACCUCCUAGAGAAAGGAAAAGGCGGAUCGAAGGAAACAACGACGAGAUUACUACAGACUAACUGAUAGUAAUCUAAGCUCACAACGAUCAAACCUCCGACGAACGAGUCACGCACAAACUGCGUACAACUGACGCCGAUCACUUAGGACUUUAUUUACUCCGUGGUGUAACAAACGUUCCUACGACUUCCUCUGUACGUAUAUAAUAAACACCUUCCUGUAUUACUUGUAACCGACGUUCAUGACGGUGUUGGACAGACGAGGAACGACGAACGCUCUCCUCCCGUUACAGAACGACCCUACACGUGCGAGACAUUAACCACUAAACUUAGAGUUCAAAUAGCCGCUUCAAUUAUGUUUCGUACACUUACUCUAGUCUCUCAAUUACGUAUAUAAUUAGUAACGUUCCUCUGUAAGUACAUAAUAAACACCUUCCUCUAUUACUUGUAAUGGACGUUCAUGAUGGUGUGUUGGACAGACGAGGAACAACGACCGCUCUCCUGAUUAAUAACGUACAUACAUUACUUCCUACUCUAGCCCCCGCUACAGAACGGACCUACACGUACUUAACUCAGCUAUAUCUUAAGAAUAAACAUUUCUUCGCAUCAAUUCCGAUCUCAAAGAUCCAAUCUCAAACAGUAGACAUGCAAAAUUUGGAUAUGUUAUAGACUCGGCAAUAAUAAAACACAGUGGUCUAUCUACCGAGGAUGAACUUCAGUCAAAGGUACAUACGAUUUUAUAUACGUG